AGCUGGGGGGCGCCUGGUCGCCAUGUUGGUCGCGGGCUGUGGUGGGAGGGCGACAGGCCUUGUAAAGGCUGUGACACGGAUUCUAACCCUGGCUUUCCCUUCACCUGGAGUGGCAGUGCCUCCAGCGCCGGGGAGACUGGGAGACCGCUCACCUGAGCAUCCUUAUGACUAACUCUUUCCCCGUGUCCUCUCCUGGCCUCAUCCUACGGGAGAAGCGCUUAGGGUCGGGAGAGGACAAUGCGACACCGUGCUCCCCUCCCACACACACUCCAGGGCAGGACGGCCAGGCCACACUUUCCAUUUCUGAGCCGCGGUCCCUCAUGACUGCCAAGUCCGCCUCUCCCUUCCGUGCCCACGCGCCUACAUUUUGCUCUCCCCGCCCCCCGCCGUCCUUCGUUCCCUCUAAUCCCUUGUCCCCUUCCGUUUAUAAGUUACAGAUGGACAGAUCCAAACUGCUGAGUAAUCCAUAAUAAACCUCGUAAUAAAUUCUGGGUAAGAACGUUUAAAAAAUUACUUUAAAUCGUCAUGUUAAAAU
rnacentral:lncRNA from 1 species